UACGUAGGGACCGAGCGUUGUCCGGAAUCAUUGGGCGUAAAGAGCGUGUAGGCGGCCUUUUAAGUCCUGCGUGAAAUCCUGCGGCUCAACCGCAGACGGUCGUGGGAAACUGGAAGGCUAGAGUGCGGGAGAGGAGAGUGGAAUUCCCGGUGUAGCGGUGAAAUGCGCAGAUAUCGUAAGGAAGACCAGUGGCGAAGGCGGGUCUCUGGACAGUUCCUGACGCUGAGGCACGAAGGUCAGGGGAGCAAACGGG
rnacentral:rRNA from 1 species